rnacentral:rRNA from 1 species
GACGAACGCUGGCGGCGUGCCUUAAUACAUGCAAGUAGAACGCUGAAGGGAGAGCUUGCUCUUCUGGAUGAGUUGCGAACGGGUGAGUAACGCGUAGGUAACCUGCCUGGUAGCGGGGGAUAACUAUUGGAAACGAUAGCUAAUACCGCAUAAAAGUCGACAUUGCAUGAUGUUGACUUGAAAGGUGCAACUGCAUCACUAAGAGAUGGACCUGCGUUGUAUUAGCUAGUUGGUGAGGUAACGGCUCACCAAGGCGACGAUACAUAGCCGACCUGAGAGGGUGAUCGGCCACACUGGGACUGAGACACGGCCCAGACUCCUACGGGAGGCAGCAGUAGGGAAUCUUCGGCAAUGGGGGCAACCCUGACCGAGCAACGCCGCGUGAGUGAAGAAGGUUUUCGGAUCGUAAAGCUCUGUUGUAAGAGAAGAACGAGUGUGAGAGUGGAAAGUUCACGCUGUGACGGUAUCUUACCAGAAAGGGACGGCUAACUACGUGCCAGCAGCCGCGGUAAUACGUAGGUCCCGAGCGUUAUCCGGAUUUAUUGGGCGUAAAGCGAGCGCAGGCGGUUAGAUAAGUCUGAAGUUAAAGGCUGUGGCUUAACCAUAGUACGCUUUGGAAACUGUUUAACUUGAGUGCAGAAGGGGAGAGUGGAAUUCCAUGUGUAGCGGUGAAAUGCGUAGAUAUAUGGAGGAACACCGGUGGCGAAAGCGGCUCUCUGGUCUGUAACUGACGCUGAGGCUCGAAAGCGUGGGGAGCAAACAGG